rnacentral:tRNA from 1 species
AAUUAAUGAGCUUGAACAAGCGUAUGUUUUGAAAACAUAAGAUAGUAAUAAUUUAUUAUUAAUUU